ensembl:lncRNA
UUUAGCAUCUCAUUAAGUGGGCAGUCUGAAGUGUGCUCAGAGAAAACUUAAAUUCUGCUAUUUGGUUUGUAAUUGUGGCCCUAGGCUUGAUAGGAGGUAGUACCAGGGACUCAUCACUAAGUUCUUACCUAAAGAAGACAUCUGUGAGCCUUGAUAACUUCGUUGGCGUCAAGGUGAGAGAACAAGAAGGAAAUAACAGGAAAACUGGCAAGGAAAGCAGUGCGAGGCUGAGGAGUCUGUUUGUGGCCAUUGUCAGAGACAAGAGAACAGUCUGUGGGCCCUUGCUGUGAUUCAGGAGAGCUGCUCUGUCUGCUUUUCUGCCCUCAUCUCAGAGUGUAUGUCAUAAUACUUUAUUGAAGUUAGCAAAUAAUACCUAACUUGUUUUGUAAAGACUGGUCUACCUGUGUUGAUUAACAGAAGAUACUACUCUCAAAAGUUAAAG